rnacentral:rRNA from 1 species
AUUGAACGCUGGCGGCAGGCCUAACACAUGCAAGUCGAGCGGAUGAAGGGAGCUUGCUCCUGGAUUCAGCGGCGGACGGGUGAGUAAUGCCUAGGAAUCUGCCUGGGAGUGGGGGAUAACGUCCGGAAACGGGCGCUAAUACCGCAUACGUCCUGAGGGAGAAAGUGGGGGAUCUUCGGACCUCACGCUAUCAGAUGAGCCUAGGUCGGAUUAGCUAGUUGGUGGGGUAAAGGCCUACCAAGGCGACGAUCCGUAACUGGUCUGAGAGGAUGAUCAGACACCCUGGAACUGAGACACGGUCCAGACUCCUACGGGAGGCAGCAGUGGGGAAUAUUGGACAAUGGGCGAAAGCCUGAUCCAGCCAUGCCGCGUGUGUGAAGAAGGUCUUCGGAUUUUAAAGCACUUUAAGUUGGGAGGAAGGGCAGUACGUUAAUACCUUGCUGUUUUGACGUUACCAACAGAAUAAGCACCGGCUAACUUCGUG